rnacentral:rRNA from 1 species
AUUGAACGCUGGCGGCAGGCCUAACACAUGCAAGUCGAACGAGUGGCGGACGGGUGAGUAAUUUCUGGGAAACUGCCCCAGGGAGGGGGGUAACUACUGGAAACAGUAGCUAAUACCCCAUACCAUCUGAGGUGCCCAGAUGGGAUUAGCUCGUAGGUGGGGUAACGGCGCACCUAGGCGACGAGCCCUAGCUGGUCUGUGAGGAUGACCAGCCACACUGGAACUGAGACACGGUCCAGACUCCUACGGGAGGCAGCAGUGGGGAAUAUUGCACAAUGGGAGCAAGCCUGAUGCAGCCAUGCCGCGUGUAUGAAGAAGGCCUUCGGGUUGUAAAGUACUUUCAGCGAGGAGGCGUUACUCGCAGAAGAAGCACCGGCUAACUCCGUGCCAGCAGCCGCGGUAAUUC